GGUUCGGUGGCAGAAUGGUGAUGCAGCGGACUGCAAAUCCGCGUAUAUGGGUUCGAUUCCCGUCCGAACCUCCA
rnacentral:tRNA from 1 species